rnacentral:rRNA from 1 species
UACGGGGGGGGGCAAGCGUUGUUCGGAAUUACUGGGCGUAAAGGGCUCGCAGGCGGCCGACUAAGUCAGACGUGAAAUCCCUUGGCUUAACCAAGGAAUGGCGUCUGAUACUGGACGGCUUGAAUCCGGGGGGAGGGAUGUGGAAUUCCAGGUGUAGCGGUGAAAUGCGUAGAUAUCUGGAGGAACACCGGUGGCGAAGGCGGCAUCCUGGACCGGUAUUGACGCUGAGGAGCGAAAGCCAGGGGAGCAAACGGG